GGACUACUAGGGUAUCUAAUCCUGUUUGAUCCCCACGCUUUCGCGCCUCAGCGUCAGUUGUCGUCCAGAUAGCCGCCUUCGCCACCGGUGUUCCUGCUAAUAUCUACGAAUUUCACCUCUACAUUAGCAAUUCCGCUAUCCCCUCCGACACUCAAGCUUGACAGUUUCAAAGGCAGUUCCACAGUUAAGCUGUGGGAUUUCACCCCUGACUUGACAAGCCGCCUACGCGCGCUUUACGCCCAGUAAUUCCGAACAACGCUAGCACCCUUCGUAUUACCGCGGCGGCUGGCAC
rnacentral:rRNA from 1 species